CUCGUAGGUGGUUUGUCGCGUCGUUUGUGUAAGCCCGCAGCUUAACUGCGGGACUGCAGGCGAUACGGGCAUAACUUGAGUGCUGUAGGGGAGACUGGAAUUCCUGGUGUAGCGGUGGAAUGUGUAGAUAUCGGGAAGAACACCAAUGGCGAAGGCGGGUCUCUGGGCCGUCACUGACGCUGAGGAGCGAAAGCGUGGGGAGCGAACA
rnacentral:rRNA from 1 species